rnacentral:rRNA from 1 species
AACGCGAAGAACCUUACCUGGUCUUGACAUCCACGGAAGUUUUCAGAGAUGAGAAUGUGCCUUCGGGAACCGUGAGACAGGUGCUGCAUGGCUGUCGUCAGCUCGUGUUGUGAAAUGUUGGGUUAAGUCCCGCAACGAGCGCAACCCUUAUCCUUUGUUGCCAGCGGUCCGGCCGGGAACUCAAAGGAGACUGCCAGUGAUAAACUGGAGGAAGGUGGGGAUGACGUCAAGUCAUCAUGGCCCUUACGACCAGGGCCACACAGGUGCUACAAUGGCGCAUACAAAGAGAAGCGACCUCGCGAGAGCAAGCGGACCUCAUAAAGUGCGUCGUAGUCCGGAUUGGAGUCUGCAACUCGACUCCAUGAAGUCGGAAUCGCUAGUAAUCGUGGAUCAGAAUGCCACGGUGAAUACGUUCCCGGGCCUUGUACACACCG